GGGUCAGUAGGUUGGUCGUGCCACCGGUACGUACUGGUCUCACUGACUCCUCCUUCCUGAAGAACCGUAAUGCCAUUAAUUUGGUGUUGCGGGGAAACAGGACUGUUACUUUGAAAAAAUUAGAGUGUAUAAAGCAAGCUAACGCUUGAAUACAUUAGCAUGGAAUAAUGAAAUAGGACGAUCGAUCCUAUUUUGUUGGUUUCUAGGAUUGACGUA
rnacentral:rRNA from 1 species